ACUCCUCCUUUUUUGUUGCAGUGAACGCUGCUUCUUCUGCUUUCCUUUGAGGGGAGUUACGGAUUUUUUUGUGCUCGGGGCAACCAUCCCUCAAGUUUCCUUUGGAACCCUUUUUUCCAUUCUCUCCCAUACCGUCUCAAAAAUUAUCCCAAACUACUUCCUCCUCCAUGUCUCUUCAAUAAACCUUCAAUUAUUCUUUCCUUUUUGUGAAAGAUAAAUGGAUCUUCGACAUCUUCCACUUCAUCCAAGCAAUUUCAUUUUUUGGUGAUUGCUUUCUGGUUCUAGAUGAUUUAAACUUUACAACAUGAAUUUCAUUCAAUUUUGAUUAAUUAGCUAAAGUAGGUCAUUUGCAUUCAUAAUAGGUACUAUUUUUGCUUGGGUAGAAUAUCUCCCCUUAAGCAUCAGCCUUUUCUCAUUGUCUUGUUGAAUGAUAGGUGAAAAAAAAUUAUUGAAAGCUGCAACCGUGAAGAAAGGUUACUUAGGAAAUGUUGAAUAACUGCUCAAUUGCUUAGCACUUCAUCUAUAGUACUAACUAAAAAAAAUCCACAUUUAAUGAAGCAGCUUGUCAUGGCAGCGGCAUGGCAUUGAUGUAAAGCAGGAUCCUCCUAUUGAUGAUCCGAGAGUUAAAGCAAAGAAGCUGGGACUACUAGCUGAGCCAUAUAUUUGGAGGGAAUGCAAUCAAUGUGCAAAUUGGUUGGUCAAAUGCAGCAUAUGAUCCAUCAGGACUAUAAGUUCCCCGAUGAUAUUCCAGCAAAGAUGCAAGAUUUGUUAGGAGCAAAUGUGUUAGGAGUUGCAUAUCUUCAUUUUGUUUCUACUUAAGAGGUUAUGACCUCUUCCAAUGUACCAAAAAAGAAAGAAAAAAUAAAGAGGUUCCAUUACAGAAUAUAUAUCCUUGGUGCUUCUUGCAGGAAUUUUUUUUCCCUUUUGAUUGGUCAUAUCCCAUAAUGUUGUAAGACUUCUCUAGCAGCAAAAGUGUAUAGGAAUUCUAAGGUUGCUUUCCUCAAAACUCAAUGACAGGAAUUUGUUAAGAAUGUGUUUGGAAUUAUAUUAAGUAAUGCAAAUUAGUUAA